rnacentral:rRNA from 1 species
GAUGAACGCUGGCGGCGUGCUUAACACAUGCAAGUCGAACGAUGAAGCUCGGAUUGCUGGGUGGAUUAGUGGCGAACGGGUGAGUAACACGUGAGUAAACUGCCCUCAACUAUGGGAGAAGCAUGGGAAACUAGGUGUAAUACCGGAUGGGAGCGUCCUCCGCACGGUGGGUGUUGGAAUGAAGUAUCGGUUUUGGAUGGACGGGCGGCCUAUCAGCUUGUAGGGGAGGUAAUGGCGAACCAAGGCGACGGCGGGUAGCCGGCCUGAGAGGGGGACCGGCCACACUGGUACUGAGGCACGCCCCAGACGCCAACGUGAGGCAGCAGUGGGGAACAUUGCACAAUGGGCGAAAGCCUGAUGCAGCGACGCCGGGAUAGUGAUGACGGCCUUCUGGUGAUAAACCACUUUCAGUAUAAAAGAAGCGAUAGUGACGGUACCUACAGAAGAAGCCCCGGCUAACUACGUG